CAGUGGGGAAUAUUGGGCAAUGGAGGAAACUCUGACCCAGCGACGCCGCGUGCGGGAUGAAGGCCUUCGGGUUGUAAACCGCUUUCAGUAGGGAAGAAGCGAAAGUGACGGUACCUACAAAAGAAGCACCGGCUAACUAUGUGCCAGCAGCCGCGGUAAUACAUAGGGUGCAAGCGUUGUCCGGAAUUAUUGGGCGUAAAGAGCUCGUAGGUCGUUUGUUACGUCGGAUGUGAAAACCUGAGGCUCAACCUCAGGCCUGCAUUCGAUACGGGCAAACUAGAGUUUGGUAGGGGAGACUGGAAUUCCUGGUGUAGCGGUGGAAUGCGCAGAUAUCAGGAGGAACACCAAUGGCGAAGGCAGGUCUCUGGGCCAAUACUGACACUGAGGAGCGAAAGUCUGGGGAGCGAACAGGAUUAGAUACCCUAGUAGUC
rnacentral:rRNA from 1 species